AGAGUUUGAUCCUGGCUCAGAAUGAACGCUGGCGGCGUGCUUAACACAUGCAAGUCGUACGAGAACGCUUCAGCUUGCUGAAGCAAGUAAAGUGGCGCACGGGUGAGUAACGCGUGGGUAAUCUACCCUCGAAUCGGGGAUAACGUUGCGAAAGCGACGCUAAUACCGGAUGACAUCUUAAGAACCUCGGUUUUUUUGAUCAAAGGUGGCCUCUACAUGUAAGCUACUGUUUGAGGAUGAGCCCGCGUCCCAUUAGCUAGUUGGUAGGGUAACGGCCUACCAAGGCGACGAUGGGUAGCUGGUCUGAGAGGAUGAUCAGCCACACUGGAACUGACACACGGUCCAGACUCCUACGGGAGGCAGCAGUGAGGAAUUUUGCGCAAUGGGGGAAACCCUGACGCAGCAACGCCGCGUGAGUGAUGAAGGCUUUCGGGUCGUAAAGCUCUGUCAAGUGGGAAGAACCACCGUAAGGUUAAUAUCUUUAUGGUCUGACGGUACCACUGAAGGAAGCACCGGCUAACUCCGUGCCAGCAGCCGCGGUAAUACGGGGGGUGCAAGCGUUAUUCGGAUUUACUGGGCGUAAAGCGCGCGUAGGCGGCCGUUUAAGUCAGAUGUGAAAGCCCGGGGCUCAACCCCGGAAGUGCAUUUGAUACUAUUCGGCUUGAGUAUGGGAGAGGGAAGUGGAAUUCCUGGCGUAGAGGUGAAAUUCGUAGAUAUCAGGAGGAACACCGGUGGCGAAGGCGACUUCCUGGACCAAUACUGACGCUGAGGCGCGAAGGCGUGGGGAGCAAACAGGAUUAGAUACCCUGGUAGUCCACGCAGUAAACGGUGAUCACUAGGUGUAGCGGGUAUUGACCCCUGCUGUGCCGCAGCUAACGCAUUAAGUGAUCCGCCUGGGGAGUACGGCCGCAAGGUUAAAACUCAAAGGAAUUGAGGGGGGCCCGCACAAGCGGAGGAACAUGUGGUUUAAUUCGAUGAUACGCGAGGAACCUUACCUGGGCUUAAAUGUAAAACGACGGAUCGGGAAACUGAUCUUUCUUAGGACGCUUUGCAAGGUGCUGCAUGGCUGUCGUCAGCUCGUGCCGUGAGGUGUCGGGUUAAGUCCCAUAACGAGCGCAACCCUCAUCAUUAGUUGCCAGCGGAUAAUGCCGGGGACUCUAAUGAAACUGCCGGUGUAAACCGAGAGGAAGGUGGGGAUGACGUCAAGUCAGCACGGCCCUUAUGUCCAGGGCUACACACGUGUUACAAUGGUCGGUACAAAGGGCAGCUACCUGGUGACAGGAUGCUAAUCUCUAAAACCGAUCUCAGUUCGGAUCGAAGUCUGCAACUCGACUUCGUGAAGCUGGAUUCGCUAGUAAUCGCGCAUCAGCCAUGGCGCGGUGAAUACGUUCCCGGGCCUUGUACACACCGCCCGUCAAGCCAUGGAAGG
rnacentral:rRNA from 1 species